UACGUAGGUGGCAAGCGUUGUCCGGAUUUACUGGGUGUAAAGGGCGUGCAGCCGGGCUGACAAGUCAGAUGUGAAAUCCCACGGCUCAACCGUGGAACAGCCCUUGAUACUGCGCGACUUGAAUCCGGGAGAGGGUGGCGGAAUUCCAGGUGUAGGAGUGAAAUCCGUAGAUAUCUGGAGGAACAUCAGUGGCGAAGGCGGCCACCUGGACCGGUAUUGACGCUGAGGCGCGAAAGCGUGGGGAGCAAACAGG
rnacentral:rRNA from 1 species